UUAUGGACAUGCCACGAGCUUCUCUGUACAUUGAAUCCUUCACUAUAUCUCGAAGAUCAAGUGACUGCAUGGUCUUUGUCAAUGGAGGCUGUCGCUCUUUUUUAGCAAUGGUCUGCAAUAUGUUUUCAGAUGAUGAACAGGAUGGUCGGGAUGACUCAGUGGACAUUCUUGGUUUCUCCUUCAGAGGCUCUGAACUUUUUCCCUACGAGAGCCUUCUGCUGUUGUGGAUGCUAGCACGCUGGCCAGUGAUAAAGUGGUGACGAUCAAAGAGUUGAAUAAUUCCAUUAAUGCAUCCCAUCUGCUUCUUCAGGUUUUGAUUGCCAUCUGUUGCAGACGACAAUGCUAUUGCAGCUUGACAGAUGCAUAAGGCUUGUUUUAAAAACAGGAGACAGAGCACUUACUAGGAAAUGGGAAUCAUUUGGUAUAUGACUGACCCAAAAUGGAUUACUUUCCUGGAUUCCAGCUAUGAAGUCAGAUAGCGAUAACUGUUGAAUGAAACCAAGGUAUUGUUAGAAAAAGAAACUGGAGAAUAGAUACAUCCCAAUUCUGAUUACCCAGGUGUCAAACAACUGUCGAUGCUGCAGGCAUAGGGUAAGAUCAAGAGGUGAUAUUUUUGGGUUCUCACUCGGAAUAAUAUGAAAUGAAGCCUACCUAAACGGAUGUUUCUUAUUUGAAUAUGAAAGUGCAAUUUGCAAAUUGAAUUAUUUUAGACAAGCUUAUAUCUUCUUAAAAAUAGCUAGCCAUUGUACCGUCACCAAAUUUCUUGUUUAACUGUUAGCUCUCUACAAGGAAAGGCAGCUCCUGGAUGGCGGAUGGUUGAGCUCUUAAAGGGAAUGCAUAUACUAGAUUUGAUAAAGGUUAGUACUCCAAAUUUAUAUGAGAGAGUGUGAGUAAGAUCUAGUGUGAAUAUGUGGGACAUAUUUUCACUAUUCAUUUUCUGUCAUUUCCACGUGAACAUAACAAUAAGGGUGGAGCCUGGACCUCUUCUGGGCAUGUGGACUCUGUCAGGUAAUGGUAAGAAAGUGGCUUGAUGCCACUGGCAAUCUCUUUCAACUGUUUCUAUUUCCGCCUCAAUACCCAAAAGCAACAUUAUUAUUUGUCAGGAAAAAAAAUAAAGGCAGGUGACAUCAUAAUUCCUCCUAGAUUAUUCACCUAUUUGGAUUGGUAUGUAGCCAUUGAGCUUUCCAUUCAUGUUCUUGGUAAUGACAUUCACAUACAGUUAAAGUUUUGGGACAUAGCAAUUUGAUGGGAUUAUGAACUGUGGAUGGCAACUAUUAACGCAUGAGAGUAGUGUGGGUAUAGACUUAUAGUAUUAUCAGCUGGCAAGUAAUAACUUUUGUGCAAAAAGUUGUCAACUACUUUUUUAUUGGGUGGUUGAAAUUUGAUCUGAGUGUCAUGCAUUAUUUCUGUUGCCAUAAUAAAGAUUAGCAGCUUCUGUACAAUGUUGUUGAAAGUAUUCAAUGCUUGUUUUUCUCAGGCAAGUUCAUUUAGUUGGAGAAGGACUUCUCUUUGGUAUCAUUUACUUUUGGACUUUACUAGAAGCUCCGGAUCCCAUUAAUGUUUCUGUACCUGUGAUUCAUUACCUCGCUCAUUUGCUUUUAAUCUAUAUGCUAAAUCAUUCUCCUCACAGUUUGGCACCUCUUUUCUGUAGGAUCUGUGUCGCAUUCAGCCUUUUUUGGUAUAAGAUGAGCACAUAUGGUCAACAACUAAUCAGGCAAGGACAGUGUGUACAGAUUUAUAGUUUUCACUGCAUCAAAUGUUGCCAAGAAUUUGCCUGCUUAUUGCCCUUCUCCAAUCAAUGCCCCUUGUCUCCAUUUCUCUUUUGUUUCUUUCAAUAACAAUCAUGGUACUACUCACCAGAUGUCACUCAUUAUCAUAUAAAAAAAACCUAGGUUGAAAUUGAGUAUUAUUUGCUUUUUAUAAUUACACUCCCAUCUGACUUGUUUGCAAAAACAAUUCCCAUUUUGAAAUUUGAAUAGGUAUUUUGAAUUGAGUAUUCCCAUAGAUGAA